GGUUAAGUGACUAAGCGUACACGGUGGAUGCCUUGGCAGUCAGAGGCGAUGAAAGACGUAGUAACUUGCGAUAAGCCCAGAUUAGGUAGUAACAACCAUUUGAGUCUGGGAUUUCUGAAUGGGGAAACCCACGUGCAUAAGCACGUAUCCUUACCUGAAUACAUAGGGUAAGG
rnacentral:rRNA from 1 species